GGGGACAGCGGGAGGAGCGCGGCGGGGACACCCGGGGGAGUGACCAGUGACACCCGUGAGUGUGCCCGGGACUGCCGGGGGCACGGCAGUAACCGGGGCAGUGCUUGGGGCAGGGGGAGCCCCACCAGCAGCGCGGGUUGAGCUGGGGAUGCGGGGGCUGCCGGCCACGGGGUGUUGGAGGGCACGGAGGGGCUCCUGGCUCUGACCGCAGUGACGCUCCCGCAUCCUCGGCUGGGGAGGGAGGGUAAAGGCAGCCCCCGAAGGUGAUGCUGGGGUCAGCAUCCGGGCAGGUCGUCAUUGUCCCGUGCCUCCCGAGUGUGACCCGUGUCCGGUUCUCUCCAGUGUGACCGCGGCCGUCUGUCCCGGCCGUGACCCGUGUGCGGCUCUCCCCCUUGUGUGUCCCCCGUGUCCGGCCGUGCCCCGUGUCCGGCUGUUCCCCGUGUGUGUGACCCGUGUCCGGCUAUGUCCUGUGUGUGUCCCCCGUGUCUGGCCGUGCCCCGUGUCCGGCUGUCUCCCGUGUGUGUGCCCCAUGUCCGGCUGUGCUCCAUGUGUGUGCCCCGUGUGUGUACCCCGUGUGUGUGCCCCAUGUCCGGCCGUGCCCCGUGUCCAGCCGUGCCCCGGCUGUGUGACCGUGUCCGCUGUCCCCGUGUCCCGCAGCCCCCGCCGCGCCGAUGGAGCCCCGCUGCCCGCCCUGGCUGUGGCUCUGCCCCCGGCCGUGCCGCCUCCUGCUGCACGCCCUGUGCUCCGGGCCCGCCGGGGCGGCGGCCGCGCUGCGGGUGCUGCAGCGGGGCCAGCCCGGCCAGGGACCGGCGCAGGCGUUCCCCUGGCAGGCUCUCACCGCGGCCCUGUGCGCCCAGGAGCCCUCGCUGGAGGGGCCGCAGGACACCCUGGCUGUCAAGCCACGGCUGCUGCUACUGCCUGUUCUGUGCCAGAGAAAUUUCUUCUCCCUGCUCCUCGUGGUGCAGGAUGCAGUGCCAGGGGACUGCCUUGACCGGCUGCUCCAGGCCUUGGAGCAGGAUUCCCGUGUGGAUCCCUGGGUGCAUUCACUGGAGAAUCUGCUCCGGCAGGGACUGAGGGCACAGGAGGGCUCCCCACGUCCCACUGCCCUGUCUUCUGCAUGCCAGCAGCAGCUCAGGGGCCUGUGCCAGAAAAUUGCCCAGAAGAAACCAGAGGGGCAAAGAAAAUUGAACUGGUGCUUCAGUGAGCAGCCUGGUGCCCCUGAGUCUCAAGGUGGGAAGCGCAGUAGAGUGUCGGGGGAGAGCCUGGAGUUGGACAGUGAGAUAGAGGAGAAGAGGCUGUUGCUGGAGGAGGUGGCAUUUGAGCCCCUGGGGCCCCAGGAGUGUGCAGAUGUGGCAGGAGUGGAAGAGGAAGUGCCCGAGGAGCCUUCAGAGGACACAUCUGCUCAGAGCACAGAUAAGGCUGCUCCAGACAGCUCCCAGCAGGAUGCAGUGGGGGAGCUCAGGAAGAUUUCCCAGACAGAGCUGGCAGCGGAGGUCCAGUCCUUUGUCCAGAUGCAUGGACAGAGGCUGAAAAUGCUGCUGCUGCAGGAGUCCAGUCACUCCGAGCUGCGCACCCCACCCGAGCUGAGCAUCCUGAACAACUGCUCCCCCAGCCAGCUCGAGGGGCUGUGCUCCUUCCUCCAGCUCUCCACGUGCCCCGAGCCCCUCCUGGUGCGUUUCUGCAGCUGGCUGCUGGCUCUGAGCCCUGACCUCAGCUACAGCAGCGCAGCCACCCUGGCACAGCAGCUCUUCCUCAGGCGAGUCCUGUCCCUCGCCCAGCCGCCUUCCCGACACCUCAUGGCUGCCCUCACCUCCUUUUGCUCCAAGUAUUCCCAUCCCUUGUGCCGUGUGCUGGUGGCUGCCGUGCUGCAGGAGCCAGGGGAAGGUGCCGAGCAGACCAAGCUGAUGUGUGAGCUGGUGGAGGAGUGCCUGGAGCCACACUCUGUGCAGCUGCUGCUAAGCCAGGUCUUGGAGGUGCCUUUGUCUGAGAAACUCCUGCCAGUACUGCAGGCCGUGCUGGGGCGCCAGGAGGUGCUGCCCGCUGAGCUCUUGGAUCUGCUGGUGCUGACUCUGUGCCAGCAGGCCCCAGCCUUCGCCACCUCGCUCAGCUUCGCCCAGCUGGUGACAGCCGUGCUCACGGUGUACCAGAGCCAGGUCAGCCCAGCUCAGCGGAGCAGCCUGGCUGCUGUCCUGGACCGGAGCAGCGCGGCGCUGAAGAAAUCACUGCAGGCUGUGCUGGAAGGGGCCAGGUGACCACCAAGAGGAAUCGUGAGGUGACAGCUUCCUUGUGUGGAGGACACUCAUUGCACAGCAGCAGCCACAGCCACCCUCACUGGGUUCCCCCUGGUGAGGCGUUUCUGUGUCUCUUCUGCCUUGGGCCUGCCAUGCUCAGCAAGGUGACCUGGCCUUCCUGUGAUGGGGGCAGACAGGACACAACCCAGGGAGGAGCUUCUGAGUUUUUACUGCCCAAAACAUCACUGAGCGUUGAUUUGAGGCUGCGUGAAGCUGAAAAUUCUGGACUUAGUUCACUAUCUUGAUUUUACCUCAGCUCAUUCCAAGGCACGAGCUCUGUGCACAUCCACAUUCCUCCCCAACAGCCAAACCAGUUUCGGAGUGGUGCAGGCUGGGCUGCUGCUUUGUGUAUCUGAUCUGCUGGGAUUUACAGAUCUCUGGGUGCAGGAGAGUGGGAUUUAGCUGAAUUCCAGCUGAAUUUAGCUGGAAAAUUUCUGUGUUCUGCUUUAAAUCCACCUCUCUUUCCUGUUUGCCUGGCCUGUGAGGGGCCUGGCUGUGUGUGGCGCAUUUCUGGUGAUGGUGACACUACUCACUGCCCUAAAAGAAAGUGCUUGUAUGGCAUGACUCUGCUCAAAAUUCUGUUCUGUAUUCUUGAAAGUACCCACUGCAAACCUCAUCUAGGCACCUCCUGGUCUGAGAACUGGGAAGAACAGAGUGGAGACUCAGGCAGACAGGACUAGGGUUUCAAUGGAGGUUUUGAAGCAUUGCAUACUUCAGGAGCUAUGUAAAAAUCCAUAAACAUCUACAAAGUGAGAAUUCAAACAUGCAGGUGUGACGUGUGACUGCUUCAGCUUUGCUCAUUAAUGUUUAGAUCCCAGCCAGAGGAAGGAAACUCUGAAGCAUUAGGUGACGCUCCUAAGGCUGAGAGCACAGAUUUCUUUAUGUAAGACUCUCUUAAGCUAUUUUAGGUGACAGUGGACUGAUGAGGCUUCAAAGUCCGCAUUAGCUGGAGGAUAGAAGCCUCCAGGGAGCCAGAUUGUUGAUGUGUUUGCAUUCCAGUGAGUUAGUGGCUGAGUAUAGUGAAGCUAUUGUAGGGCUGCCCAAAACACGACAUAAAUAGAAAUUGUGCCCUGAUCAUCAAGGUCUAAGCCUGCUCUUGUGGCUUUAUUAGGUAGCAGGCUCUGAUCUUUGCAGUUUCCCUGCAGAGCUUCUACCAAGUGACCUCGGUGUCAUUGUCCCCGGUGCUCUGGCUGUGGCUGGCGGUCACAUAGAGGUGGCCACUGGCUUGUGGCAAGAGCCUUCUUAGCCCUGGUUUGGCUCUUGGCUGCAGCUUAUCGUGUGCUGUGGGUUCCUCUGAGGUGUAGUUAACUCCUCAUGCAGAUAACAAUCACAGAAGGAGAACUGGGAGCAAACCCUGGGGACGCUGCACAUACUGGGGGAAGGCUGCUUGUUUAUAGGUUGGCAGCACCUACACAGAAAACUUUACUUUUGACUCCUCUUGACCCUUUCAAGAGCUUUAGAAUCCAUCCUGAAGAGCGCAGGGAGGUGGAUGCAGCAUAAAACAUCAGUCAGAUUUUAUGGUUCAGCAGAAUCUUGGCCAAGGGUGGCGGCAGUGCCAGGACUGGCUCUGUCCUUGUCCUGAUUUAAGAGUGGUGGUGGUGAAGGAAUGGUCUGAAGCUUUAUCUGAGACCUUUCCUAGGCUGGAGGUAGAAGGCAGCGUGUGAUUUUCAGCCAGUUGUGCUUAUUAUACUUGGCAGUGGCUCCUUACCUGCUUCCUCUUCUGUUUAUAGGUUUAACUUCACAUUAUAGAGGGGAAUUCCCUUUUUGGUCUAGUAGUUCUUGGGGGUUUUUUGAAGGAAAUUCAUCAUAUGCAAUUGCAUGGCUUGUCUGUCCACUCUGCUGCUUCCUCACCCUCCACAGGGAUUUUUGAACCACUUUAAAGCCAAGAUGAUUCCUCCACCCCCCAGGUGCCUUCGUGGGGCUGUGGUCAGGCAGCAGAGACCCUCUCUGGGGUGAGCAGGGGUGUGGGGUCCGUGGAUGUUAAAUACCAGAGCCAUGUAGGAGCCUUGUUGGAAAGGGCUGAAACUCACUGGCUUUCCUGAAAAUGUCCUGUAUCCCUCCCCCAAGGGGCUGCCCCUCUCCAAAGAGGAGCUCCAGGUUGUUGCUGUAUCCCCUCUUGCAGCAGUUCCAGGGGUCACCUCACUUCUCCCUGGAGGUAGCUGCGUGUCCAGGGACAGCCUGCUGAUCUCAUGUGCAAUCCCCAACACGCUGAUGCAGUUCUGCCUGGAAACCUGGCGCUGUGACACCCAAAUGUGAGGCUGAGCUGCUCUGAGGAAGCCUCAGGAGUAUUUAUUUUUUUCACUUGGGAUUUAAAACUGAAUAAAAAGAGCCAUUUUCAUUCUU